rnacentral:rRNA from 1 species
AGGGCACCACCAGGAGUGGAGCCUGCGGCUUAAUUUGACUCAACACGGGAAAACUCACCCGGCCCGGACACUGGAAGGAUUGACAGAUUGAGAGCUCUUUCUUGAUUCAGUGGGUGGUGGUGCAUGGCCGUUCUUAGUUGGUGGAGUGAUUUGUCUGGUUAAUUCCGAUAACGAACGAGACUCUAGCCUACUAAAUAGAUCGUCGGCUUACAAACGCCGGCGAGACUUCUUAGAGGGACAGGCGGUGAUUCAACCGCACGAAACAGAGCAAUAACAGGUCUGUGAUGCCCUUAGAUGUCCGGGGCCGCACGCGCGCUACACUGAAGUGAUCAGCGUGCCUUUUCAACCUACUCUGUCAAGAGUGGGGAACCCAAUGAACCUUCUUCGUGAUUGGGAUAGGGGAUUGUAAUUAUUCCCCUUGAACGAGGAAUUCCCAGUAAGCGCGAGUCAUAAGCUCGCGUUGAUUACGUCCCUGCCCUUUGUACACACCGCCCGUCGCUACUACCGAUUGAAUGUUUU